GACAGGGGAUGCAAGCGUUACUCGGAAUUACUGGGCGUAAAGCGUCUGCAGGUGUCUCUCCACGUCUGGUGUAAAAGCACUGGAGCUCAACUCCGUGUACGUACCGGAAACGAGAGAGAUUGAGUCACUCAGAGGUAUCUGGAAUGCCGUGUGUAGGGGUAAAAUCCGUAGAUCCACGGUGGAACGCCAAAAGCGAAAGCAGGAUACUGGGAGUGCACUGACACUCAGAGACGAAAGCGUGGGGAGCAAAGGGG
rnacentral:rRNA from 1 species